rnacentral:rRNA from 1 species
CGCGUGGGUAACCUGCCCCAUACAAUGGGAUAGCCACUGGAAACGGUGAUUAAUACCAUAUAAUAUCAGCGAAUCGCAUGAUUUGCUGGUCAAAGAUUUAUCGGUAUGGGAUGGACCCGCGUCUGAUUAGCUAGUUGGUAAGGUAAUGGCUUACCAAGGCGACGAUCAGUAGCCGACCUGAGAGGGUGAUCGGCCACACUGGAACUGAGACACGGUCCAG